rnacentral:tRNA from 2 species
GCCCAGAUAGCUCAGUCGGUAGAGCAGGGGACUGAAAAUCCCCGUGUCGGCGGUUCGAUUCCGUCUCUGGGCACCA